rnacentral:rRNA from 1 species
UGGGGAAUAUUGCACAAUGGGCGCAAGCCUGAUGCAGCCAUGCCGCGUGUGUGAAGAAGGCCUUCGGGUUGUAAAGCACUUUCAGCGAGGAGGAAGGGUUCAGUGUUAAUAGCACUGUUCAUUGACGUUACUCGCAGAAGAAGCACCGGCUAACUCCGUGCCAGCAGCCGCGGUAAUACGGAGGGUGCAAGCGUUAAUCGGAAUUACUGGGCGUAAAAGCGCACGCAGGCGGUUUGUUAAGUCAGAUGUGAAAUCCCCGCGCUUAACGUGGGAACUGCAUUUGAAACUGGCAAGCUAGAGUCUUGUAGAGGGGGGUAGAAUUCCAGGUGUAGCGGUGAAAUGCGUAGAGAUCUGGAGGAAUACCGGUGGCGAAGGCGGCCCCCUGGACAAAAGACUGACGCUCAGGUGCGAAAAGCGUGGGGAGCAAAACAGGAUUAGAUACCCUGGUAGUCCACGCUGUAAAACGAUGUCGACUUGGAGGUUGUGCCCUUGAGGCGUGGCUUCCGGAGCUAACGCGUUAAAGUCGACCGCCUGGGGGAGUACGGCCGCAAGGUUAAAAAC